GACGAACGCUGGCGGCGUGCCUAAUACAUGCAAGUAGAACGCUGAAGGAGGAGCUUGCUCUUCUGGAUGAGUUGCGAACGGGUGAGUAACGCGUAGGUAACCUGCCUGGUAGCGGGGGAUAACUAUUGGAAACGAUAGCUAAUACCGCUUAAUAGUAGAUGUUGCAUGAUAUUUACUUAAAAGGUGCAAUUGCACCACUACCAGAUGGACCUGCGUUGUAUUAGCUAGUUGGUGGGGUAACGGCUCACCAAGGCGACGAUACAUAGCCGACCUGAGAGGGUGAUCGGCCACACUGGGACUGAGACACGGCCCAGACUCCUACGGGAGGCAGCAGUAGGGAAUCUUCGGCAAUGGACGAAAGUCUGACCGAGCAACGCCGCGUGAGUGAAGAAGGUUUUCGGAUCGUAAAGCUCUGUUGUAAGAGAAGAACGAGUGUGAGAGUGGAAAGUUCACACUGUGACGGUAUCUUACCAGAAAGGGACGGCUAACUACGUG
rnacentral:rRNA from 1 species